ensembl:snRNA U6 U6 spliceosomal RNA
CUUUUUUUAAAAAGAAAAAAAAGAAACAAUACAGAAAAGAUUAGCAAGGCCCUUGGGUAAGGAUGACAUACAAACUGACAAAACAUUCAUGU